rnacentral:rRNA from 1 species
CGGAGGGGGCUAGCGUUGUUCGGAAUUACUGGGCGUAAAGCGCACGUAGGCGGCUUUGUAAGUUAGAGGUGAAAGCCCGGGGCUCAACUCCGGAAUUGCCUUUAAGACUGCAUCGCUCGAAUUGUGGAGAGGUAAGUGGAAUUCCGAGUGUAGAGGUGAAAUUCGUAGAUAUUCGGAAGAACACCAGUGGCGAAGGCGACUUACUGGACACAUAUUGACGCUGAGGUGCGAAAGCGCGGGGAGCAAACAGGAUUAGAUACCCUGGUAGUCCACGCCGUAAACGAUGAUGACUAGCUGUCGGGGCGCUUAGCGUUCCGGUGGCGCAGCUAACGCGUUAAGUCAUCCGCCUGGGGAGUACGGCCGCAAGGUUA